GGGCAAGAGAGAACUUGAUGAUUUGGUCACCAUUUCAUCUAGACUCCAACAUAGAAAAGGUAGCUUAGCACCCCAUCAUUCUAACCCACCAUUUUUCUAACUUUGGGAAGCUUUAAAUCUCUUCUUUUCUCCUCUGGACAGCAGCGCCUGCACAUGGAAAGGAAGGAGAGAAUGGAUUGAUUCCAUAGUUCUAAGCUUAGGGAAGUCAUCAAUAGUUAUUGGUUAGGCUAUCUAAGAGUGUAAUCAGAUGAAGUAGGUGGACGAACAACUUGUAGACAACCAAGUGUACGGGUUAUUAAAUAGCAAGUUAGCAGCAGGAAAGAGACGACAGGUAUCGCAGCAGUUGACGAUCGUUCUCGGGGCAAGAGGCCCAUGGUUGAUGAGUAGAUCUGAGCAUAUAUGUUGCCUGCUUAUUUUGGGAGUCUGUUGUAUAUAUUGUGACACUGUGAUGUAUUAUGUUUAUGUAGGUUGAUGUAGGAUGUUGUAGUUAUGGCACAGAGUCACCUUUUUGAUAUGAUAUAUAUAGAGUUAUGGAUCAUGUAUGUAUACUACUGUAUAUGAUAUGGAAUUGUUGUAUAUUGUGGGUUGUAAGAGCCCCAAGGCAUU